UGACCCUGAGCACUGCUGGUCACUGACAACCCUGACAGGUCCUUCUGAGGCCUUCAGUGCUUUGUUAAAAAGAAAGGAAGAAACAAUAAUUAAGUUCUAGUCACAUCUCUCCUCUUCCCAGAGCACUAUUCCUAUUUAAUUGAAUUUUUCAGCAUUUUUUAUCCUGGGAAGCAAAAUGGCAAGAGUCUCCUCUACAACCCAGGCAGGGAACUAAGCUGCUGAGAAGCCUGGACACCAAGUAAGGAUGAGGCCCACAUGAGAUGAGCCAUGAGCAGUCCAAGUGCCUGGCUGUCAUUCCAGAUGAGACAAGGAGUGGCCCCUCAGAGCAGGACCUGUGGUGGCACUGGAUAGGUGGGACCUGCUGGGUGGGAAGGGCCCUUUUGGCCCAGUGCUGGGAAGCACCUUUUACAGGCAACAGGCUUUACCUGUCUGGCAGCUCAGGGAGCCUCUGGCAAUUGCUGAGGACCCACUGUACUAUGAGAAAUCUGUAGUAAGAUCAAGCAAAGCCAGAGGGGGAAAGAUUGGAAUACAGAAUCAGAUGGGCAACAGAGAAGCAAACAGAGGAAGAAAAAAGUAUGUGGCAACAGAACACACUGAAUCAGCCCGCUGCAGACAGGCAGGUCUGUGCAUGCCCUGCCGAGGUCCCGAGUCGCCUGGAAGACACCGAAUCACCCCGCUGCAGACAGGCAGCCACCUGGUUCCACACUACAAAGACGCAGAGGACACCAGACCACCAGACCAAGCUUUGUUUCUAUUUUAUCUGUCUUUUCUCAUGUUUUCCCCUUUCUUCCUCGGCCCCUUCCCCCUUCCUAGUGCCCCUUCCCAUUAACUUUUUUAUGCACAAUAUCUCAAUGUAUUAUUGUUAAAUGAAUUCAUACUAUGGACAGUACAGUCAAAACAAUGUAAUGGCUUCUUUCUCCAAUGCUUGGGUUGUCUUAGAAAAGCCAUCUUUUCCGGAUGGGUAAUUCAUGUUUUUUGUUUGUUUGUUUGAGACAAGGUCUUGCUAUGUAGUUCAGGUUGGCUUUGUACUCAUGGCGAUUCUCCUGCAUCAGCCUCCCAUGUGCUGGGAUGACAGGCAUGCACCACACCAGGCAAUGGGCAACUCAUAUGAAUGGCUUGUGAAUGACUUGGAUUCCUUAGGCAGUUUCCCUGAGGAUCUCACACGCACUUAGCCACUGGUCCCCCUGAGACCACAUGGUAUAGAUAAUGCUGUUCAAAACUUCUAGCGGAAGUGGAAGUAGAACAACACAUCCUGGGUUAUAAUGGAGCAGAUGGUUCAGGACCCCAGCAGCCAACAUGACUCCUCCUGCACAGCAGUCUGUUCUGUACUCAGCAAAGAAUCUCUUGUUGCCUCUGGGGAACUGAGUUAAGGAGGUUUUGCAAAUCCAUGGUCUGCUGCGGCCACUGCAGCAGCCAGUGUCCACCAUAGACAGUCACUACUGCCGGACCUCAUGCUUUUUCCACCCAAGCCCAGAUAUGCACCCGAUUCUUUCCCGGAAGGUGCUUGGAGGCAGCUGGCAGCCAUCGGCAUCAGCAUGUGAGAUUCACUUUGCCACAGGUUCACCUUUUAUGGGAUAACACAAUCAUCCUAUUAUAUUAUAGGCUGAAUUAUGUCUCCCUCAAAAAUUCAUGUGUUAGCCAGGUGAGGCGGCACAAGCUGUAAUCCCAAAACUCUGGAGGCUGAGACAAUCUGGGCAACUUAGUGACUUAAAGAGACCUUGUCUUAAAAAUAAAAUGCAGAAAAAGGUGUGGGAACCUAGUGAAGGCCUUGUUCAAUCCCUAGUAGCACACACCCACAAACACACACAAACACACACACACACACACACACACACGUGUUGAAGCCUGAAUUCCCGUAUUUUAGAAUGUACCUGUACUUGGACCAGUCCUGUAAAGAAUAAUUAAAUUAAAAUGAAGUCAUUAGGGUGGGUUCUAACAGACAAUGACUAGUGUCAUUAUGAGGACAUCUAGACAUAGGCUAAAGAGGACAAGUAAUGACAUAAGGAGAAGCCAGAAUCUCCCAGCCAAAGUGGAAGGCCAAGAAUAGACAUGUCCUUCACAGUGCUCGGAAGAAACCAACACCGCAUGCUCUCGAUCGCAGACAUCCAGCCUCCAGGACUACAAGAAAAUUACUGUCUGGUGCUGGAACCACGCAGUCUGUGGUACUGUUAUUGCAGCCUGAGAAAACCAACACACGUCUCACAAAUAGGACAAAAGUACAAGUAAAACUACAAGUGAUUGAGAAAUGUUUCAAUUUCUUUUCUUUUUUAAGACAACAGUUUCUCACUAUGCAGUUCAGGUUGGCCUUGAACUCCUUACAAUCCUCCUGCCUCACCCUCCCUAGUGAUUAUAGGCAUGCCCCACCAUGCUCAGCUCAUGACUCCAACCAUAUGAAAUGGCUCUUCGGUGGGCAGAAUAAUGUCGGCCAAAGGCAUCCAUGAUCCAGUCCCCAAACCUGGGAACAUAAUAGGUCACACUGCAAAGAGGAGGGAAGGUUAUAGUUGGAAUUAAGGUUGCAAAUCACUUGAUCUUAAAAUAGGGAGGUAAGCCUGGAUUUUCUGGGUGGGCUCAAUGGAAUUGCCGGGGUCCUCUAAAAGUGGAAGGGGAAGCAGAGGAGAGAGACAGAGUUAGGCAAUGCAACUCACCAUUGGUGGCCCUGAAAAUGGAGGGAAAGCCCAGGAGCCAGGCCAACAAUGGCCUCUGGAAGCUGCAAAAGGCAAGGGAAUGGUUCUCCUCUCUGGUGCGCAGAGACUUGUGCAAGUAGUGCUCAAAACACCACUGACUUCCUGGUCACGUGAAUCAGAAUCUGUGAGUGUGGGUCCUCAGACUCCCAUCCCCCCAGUACAGUCCAGUCUGGCCAGGACUGAGAACCCAUGUGUGCCAGAGCCCCCUGGAAGCCCAGUUUCAAUGCAGGCUACUGCAACCCACUCUUGGGACUCCUCGUUCACUAGGAAUGGGGGAGACCUCAGAAUUUUCUUUUCUUUUUAAAAAAAUUUAACAGGAUACAAUUCACUUUCUGGGCCAGGGAUUUAGCUCAGUGGUUCCACUGCCUGCCUUGCAUGUGCAAGGUCCCAAGUUUGAUCCCCAGUACCAAAAAAAAAGCAUUAGUUCACAUUCUGUUGCGGGUUUUUUUGGUACCGGGGAUCAAACUCAGGACCUUGUACUUGCGAGGCAGGUGCAGUGCCACUGAGCUAAAUCCCCAGCCCUACAAUUCAUAUUCUGUAAUGGCAACUUCUUUAAAGUGGUUAACUUGGUAGUUUUCAGAAUAGUCAGAAGGUUGUGCAACCAUUAGCACUAACUCAUUCUAGAACAUUUUCAUCAUCCCAGAGGAAUCCAUUAGCAGCCACUUCCCAUUCCCCAUUUGCACCAGCAACUGGAAGCCACUAACCUAUUUUCUUUUUUUUUUUUUUUUAGUACCAGGGAUCGAACUCAGGACCUUGCACUUGCGAGGCAGGUGGCAGAACCACUGAGCUAAAUCCCUGGCUAACCUAUUUUCUUUCUCCAUAUAUUUUCCUAUUCUGUUCAUUUCAUAUAAACAGAAUCAUAUAAUCUGUAGUCCUUUGUGACUGGCUUCUUUCACUUACCACAGUAUUGUAAUGUGUAUCAGUAUUUCAUUCCCUUUUUAUGGAGGAGUAAUAUUUCCCUGUGGAUCUAUCACAUUCCAUUUAUCUAAAAUGCAUCAGCUGAUGGGUAGCAGGGUUGCUUCUACUUUUUGCCUAUUGAGAAUAAUGCUGCUGUGAACAUUUACAUAGGAGUUUUUGUAUAGCAUACAUAUAUAUUCUCUUGGAAUAUACAUACAGGAAGGACACUGCUGGGUAACAUGCUGACUGCAUUCAUUGAGAAUGAGCUUCUCCAACAAGCUCCCAGAUGAGGCUAAAGUGAGCGGUCUGGGAACCAAGCUGUGAAACCACAAAUCUCAGGAUGCUGGACAACAGUCUCUUCCCUCCUGUGCUCUGCAUGCUUGAUAUCUGGGCUUUGUUGGUCCCUUGGUCUGAAGUGUCUGCCUUUUCAUCCACAUCUUGUGACACCUUAGUCAAGUUUUAGGUUCAUCCCAAGGCCGCCUCCACCAAAAGUCAGUGAAAACAUCAUCUAUCUGUGUGGCUUUCUUGCCCACUGGCUGAACUGUAAGCUCCUUGCGGCCAUUGCUGGUGCUUGAAUCAUUUUGGUAUGAAAGCCUAGAACCCCAGCAUGGUCUCCAUAGAUUGUCGGCACUCAUAUGUUCGAUUGAAUACAAUACCAGGUCUGUUGACUGUUCUCAAGAGAUGACCCUAGAAUGUGUGUCUUGCUUUUUCCAAAUACCUGAUAAGUUCCAACAACUUAGUACUUCCUGGAGACUUCUUACAAGUUCCUCCCCAGAUGGUCUUGUGAUCAGGAGAUAGAAGGUCAAAGUACAAAGAUCCCUUCAUGUUCUAUCAUAGGGAUGGUUUUUGUGAUUGCUUCUUGGACACAGAUGCAAUUGUAGUCUUAGAAGCCAGAAUCUGUGCAGAAUGCUAGUUAGCAAAAUCUUCGUAGCAAAACAUUUCUUCAAAUGUAGAGGAGUGUCUGUCUACAGCUUUUCAGGCAAUUCUCAUAGAUAUUCAUGGAAUAUUGCUACACAACACUUUCCAUUUCCCUAGCAAAGUUGAGAAAUAGCAGAAAUAUGGAAUCAGCCCUCUCCUGACAAACUUGUAAUGAAGGGCUUAGUAGGAAGUACUGCUCAGUACUGAGAUUAAACAUGGAGCUGGCAGCUACACACACCCAUGGGGCUUCCAAAAUAGUCUUCCAAAGGCUGUGUGCACCAGCUUAUAUGUUUAUCCUCCCAGCUUCUCCGGGACCCAGCGCAUGAGUGCAGACUUCAAGUGGCUAGGAAUUCCCUCUCCUCUGGGUAAAAAGCAAAGGACAAGAUUUCCACCACCCUCUCUUGGUGGUGUGGAUGAAACCUCACUUGUCAUGGUGGACAUUUUGGAAAACCAUGGGCCACUUACAUUUCCUGUUGCCCAAUUUCUUCCAAAGUGCUGAAGACUGAAGCCAGGCAGUGUGGCAUUUUCCACACAGUCAUCAUCACUGACAUCUCUUUUCAGGCUCCGGCAGCCUUUCUACCCCAGGGAGGACCGUUUUCUUCCUCAGCAAGGAUCCUGUGAACUUGUGUUCUUCAGCCACUUUCUGUCACAUUUACCCAUCCCAGAGUCUUUUUACAAUAUUUUAUGAUAAAAAUAAUUAUAUUUUAUUUCUUUUUGCUCUAUUUUGAGGUAAGAAAGAUGGUUUCAUGUUUUAUAUCCUUGUAGUAAUUCUGUAAAGAAAACAGUGGAAAAUGAAAAAGCAUGUGGCUUUUUAAAAAACUAAGCUAAAACAGUUAGGCUCUGUGAAGUAGGUUAGAAAACUGUUUAAGCCAGGCACAGUGGUGCACGCCUGUAUCCUAGCACUCUUCGAGGCUGAGGCAGGAGGAUUCCAAAUACAAGUCCAGCCUAGACAAUUUAACAACUUAGAGAGACCCUGUGUAAAAAUAAAAAAGGGGCUGUUGUUGUAGCUCAGUGUGGAGUCCCUGGGUUCAAUGACAGAGAGAGAGAGAGAGAGAGAGAGAGAGAGAGAGAGAGAGAGCUGUUUGAUAUAUAGCUCAGUGCUAUAGAGCACUUGUCUAGCGUCUAGCAUAAAUGAACCCCUGGAACUGAUGCUCAGUAAUACAAAAACACAACACAUAAGCAAACAGAACAAUGGGAAUGGGGGAGAAAGAGGUGAUGAGCUGAGUCACUUUGGAAAGCAGUGUUUUGAUAGCAAACUCCAAGACUAGGGACACUAUACAUGAGCACUGUAUUCUAGUUCAGAACCCUGUUUCUCAGGAGGACACGAGUUAACAAUUCUGAAAUUUUUGUGCAUGGAUUCUGUGGUUGAACAAAUAAAUAAAUGGGCAGCAGAUGGUGGAAACUAGAAUUCUCAUUCAUUCUUGGAAAGAAAGAUGAGAUGCAGGGGAAGGCUAGAAUGGACAGUGUUGAAUUACACUAGAUCUGGAGACAUCGGAAUUAUCAAAUAUUUAGUCUAACAUAGAUAUAGAUGGAUGCAUACUGAAAUACUUGUAGAUACAAGUGUUGGGAGGUGUACACGUGAUCCUAGCUCUGUCCUCUGAGGGAGCCUGGGACCGAUGACACCCAGCAAUAAGUACACCUAGUGUCCCGAUCUUGAUUUUCAAUCCCUUCCUCCAAGGAACUAGGAACCUUGGGAGAAAUGGCUGCUUCCAGGUCUGAGGAUGUGCCAGAUGAGCCUGGGGCACCAUGGAAGGCCACACAAGACCACAGUGCUCAAAACAAAACACUGGAGACAGGAAAGGGACACGGGAGUCAACCGAGCGCUCCUAGAGACCAAAGCUGUCCUUCUGAUCAACAGAAUAAUAACGAUGGGUUCAGAUUAGAAGUAUAAAUCUCAUAAGGCCACACUGCUAAAAUAAAUGAUUGCAAAAAGAAAUAAAUGGAGAAUGUUAGACUCAGCGAAAAAGAACCAACCAGAGACUGAUAUUAAAUCCACACAGGAGUUUAUUACCAGCCGGGACCCGAGCCGAGCAUCAGACUCCAGCCCCAACUGGGGGAGACAAACAUAUUUUAUACACCUUUGAGGCCAACAGUUUCCAGGCCCCACUAUGGGAUAGAACUAGUAAAGCAAGCAAAAGGUACAGAAGCAGAACGUCCUGCUGUUAGAACAUUUGUCAAACAAUAGUUAAUUGUUAUUUCUAAAGGGACCUUUCAAGGGGAGGAGGUUUCUAAGCUUCCUCCUUCUGAGUUCAUCUAAAGGACAGGCAGGUGGGUCAAGCAGCAAUAUGGAGUCUGUCUUGCUAACUAGGGUCCUUCAGAGAAGAAACAAAUACAAGAAAUAAACUGAAGAUUUCACUACUAUUUCUGCUCUGUAAUUCUUCUCUUGACCCUGCUUAGUGUCACUGGACUUCUGGCGUCUAUGGUCUUGUCACUAUGCCCAAUACCUGGGACAGGUCCUGAUCUCCUCUACCCAUCAGUUAUCACGCAGCGACCACCCUGCACCCUAGCUCUGGAGGAAGCCGCUCUUUUCUUUCGGACAUGCUGCUCCUUCCUUGCUCUCACUAGCUGGGGUGUAUCUGUUUACCUUGACCCAUUUUACCAUUAAGUCACGGAGAUGAGUCAGCACUUUUCUUGUUUUCCUUUGCUGCUUCACGCACAACCACCUCCUCUUUGUCAUUUUGUAUGUGCCAGAUAUGGUAAUGGCUUGCACAGUUACUGACAAUAUAUUUUGGUUUUUCAUAUUUCUUUCUAACUGUCUCACCAUAAUUUUGAGAAAUUUCAAAGACAUCCACCUCCUUUUUUAAUUUUUAGAAUAAAGCAAGUUAUAAAUAAAUAUAUACACAUUCAUCUCAUUUUAUGUCCUAUUUCUUCAGUUACUUGUGUGUUUCAAGUCUAAUAAUAUUUACCUCUACUCCUUUGUGGUGACGAUGGUGGUGAUAAUUUUACAGAACAGAUCCCCACUUGCAUUCUGUAUUACUGCAGUAUUUCCCACUCUCAGAACACCAAAUCUUUGCUCUUCCACACCAUAUACUGCCCGCCUUUCCUUCUGUAACCUUUCCUUUCCUCUUGCCCUCAGGCUUCAUUUUUGACUCCUUCCAGCCUGAAACCCAUGGUUUUACCUUUAAUCACUUUACCAAGGCUCUCAGCUCUCCUGCCUCUUUGUCCUUCAGUGACAUUCUAUAAAAUGUCCCCCAUCUUCCUUCCCAAUCCUUUGCCCCAGCCCCAACACCCCAUUGGAAAAAAUCACUUAACUCUUCAUCUGUUGUCUACAUUUUUUGGUGUCUAUUUUCUUUUCAAAACCCCAGAAAUGCCAGGCGUGGUGGGCACGCCUAUAAUCCCAGCACUCAAGAGGCUGAGGCAGGAGAAUUGCUGUGAGUUUGAGGCCAGCCUGGGCUACACAAUGAGUUUAAGGCCAGCCUGAAGUACAUAGCAAGACCCUGUCUCAAAAACCCCCAGAAAUCCUUCCCUACUUUUCUAGUUGCCAUUUUCUCCCAUGCGCUUUACUGGAUGACGUGAGCACGUGACAUUGUAACUGGGUGACACAACAAGACUGAGCUGAGAGUCCUUCAGGCAGCUGUGCUGGGGGCUCCUCCAGGUCAAGGUGGGAAGAACGUGCAAAUGCAUUCUGUGAGUAACAAACGGAUCUGCUGUUGGUACUGGUUUCCUUAAUUACUGCUAGCAGAUUUUGUUUACAAUUUACUAAAGAAAGCAAAGCCAUUGUGGAGAUCUCUGUGUCUCCUGUGCUCCCCGUGUAAACACCUCAACAUCUGCACCUGAACACAAUCCUCUUGUCCUGUGGCCUGGAGCCCCACCCCUCUGUCUACUAGGAACUCAUUCCUCUCCCUCCUGGCAGGGGUCAAGCCAGGCUUGAAGCAUUCCCUUCCCUUCCCUUCCCCUGAAUGGAAACUGGGGCAGGGUAAACAAUAAAGGUAGGUAGAAGGGAGGUAAGGAAAUCCGUAAUUUUAAAAUUGUACUUUAAAAAAACACAGUUUAUAUAUUUUUUCCUUCCAAGCUACUCACUCCUAAAUUCCUAAAUCUUAAAAAAUACAUUAAAUUGGGGGCGUAAUUUUCUCCUCUAAAGUGGGCCCUUGCCUUGUAAACAGGCUCUUGCCUUUCACCUGUAAACUGAGCUGGAUUUCCUCUCUCUACUGUAGAUUCACAAAUUCCACAGAUCUCCACCCCCAACUCCAGCCUGGGACCAUAACCUGCUCUCUUUUGAGGGCCUGCAGGCACUCUAUUCUCUCUGAGUCUGUGAUUUUAAAAUUCCCUAUUAAACCUGUCUAUGCCUCCUACCGAGGUGUCAUGAAAAUUCUUCUUCCGUGACGGGAGUCAGAGAAGCUAUAAUAUGUUUUGUGGGGUGUUAGUGGACGUCCCCAUCUCCUCUUUGAGAAUCCCCCUCAGACCCCAUCUGGUGACAGAAACUAAGGAGAAUCCUCACCGAAGUUCAAGUUCUUUUCAACUAUCUCAUCUCAAAAUGUCUCCAGCAUACCUGAGGGAUGAUGGUAUUGUGCCUCAUGGAAUCUUGAAAACUCCGAAAGAUUUAAGAAUAUGCUUUAUUCUUCUUAUAAGCCUGGCCCUUCAGGGUUGAUAUUUUUCUUGGGAGAUGUCUGAGUAGAGAUGAGGGGAAGUGAGAGGCCACUCCUGCCCUGUGCACGCUGUUCCUGCAGAUGGGCUCCACAGAUGAGUCCUGUCAAUUCCCAGUCCUGUGUCCCUCAGGGCAAGGCCCCUUGGGCAGCUGCUGUGUCUCUCUGCUUCCUCUCCCAGUCCGGCUGACUGAACGAACAAUGGUCCGCUCCUGAGUGUCAUUCUCUCACUCAGCCCUCUCCUCACUGUCACUGCCACCUGUCACUUCCAUCCGCCUCACAUACCUGCUGGGCACUUCCUGCUCCAUCCUUCUCACCAUCUCUGUAAUAUUCAAACCCUGGACUAUGACCACUGCAGAGGAUCUCACCUGGUUUCUCU
ensembl:lncRNA